GUUCCCCAAAAAAAUAGGAAAAARUACGAACGGCCAGAUGAGGGUUYACYUGUCUCCUUUUAGUUGCUCAAUGAACUUGAUCUUUCAGUACAAAAGCUGAAAUACUCCCAUAAGACGAGAAGACCCUGUGGAGCUUAAGUCACAGCACUACUACCACAUAGCGCCUCCCUUUAGUUGGGGCGACUGCGGAACAAAACACAACUUCCCUGCCACACAUUAAACCCCGCAACGACACACAUGUCACUGCACCCACACCACGACCCAGUACUACUGACUAACGAACCAAGUUACCCCAGGGAUAACAGCGCUAUCCUCUUCUAGAGCCCCUAUCGCCAAGAGGGUUUACGACCUCGAUGUUGGAUCAGGACCUCCUGGUGGUGCAGCCGCUACCAAGGGUUCGUUUGUUCAACGAUUAAGGUC
rnacentral:rRNA from 1 species